rnacentral:rRNA from 1 species
AGAGUUGAUCCUGGCUCAGAACGAACGUGGCGGCGUGGAUUAGGCAUGCAAGUCGAACGAAUCCCGUGGGGGCAACUCUGCGGGGGAAGUGGCGAAAGGGGCAGUAAGGCAUGGGUAACUUACCCCGGAGUUCGGAAUAGCCUUCCCAACGGAUGGAUAAUACCGAAUGCCGUAUCGUGGUGGCAUCAUCGUGAUACGAAAGCUCAGGCGUUCCGGGAGAGGCCCAUGUAGUAUUAGCUUGUUGGUGAGGUAACGGCUCACCAAGGCCAAGAUGCUUAGCAGGUGUGAGAGCACGACCUGCGCCACUGGCACUGUGACACUGGCCAGACUCCUACGGGAGGCUGCAGUCGAGGAUUUUCGGCAAUGGGCGCAAGCCUGACCGAGCGACGCCGCGUGUGCGAUGAAGGCCUUCGGGUUGUAAAGCACUGUCGAGGGGGAGAAAAGCCCGCAAGGGUUUGAUCGACCCCUGGAGGAAGCACGGGCUAAGUUCGUGCCAGUAGCCGCGGUAAGACGAACCGUGCGAACGUUGUUCGGAAUCACUGGGCUUAAAGGGCGCGUAGGCGGGCAAGCAAGUCGAAGGUGAAAGCCCACGGCUCAACCGUGGAAGAGCCCUCGAUACUGCUUGUCUGGAGGGAGGUAGGGGCAUGCGGAAC